UGGGGAAUAUUGGACAAUGGGCGAAAGCCUGAUCCAGCCAUGCCGCGUGUGUGAAGAAGGUCUUCGGAUUGUAAAGCACUUUAAGUUGGGAGGAAGGGCAGUAAAUUAAUACUUUGCUGUUUUGACGUUACCGACAGAAUAAGCACCGGCUAACUCUGUGCCAGCAGCCGCGGUAAUACAGAGGGUGCAAGCGUUAAUCGGAAUUACUGGGCGUAAAGCGCGCGUAGGUGGUUCGUUAAGUUGGAUGUGAAAUCCCCGGGCUCAACCUGGGAACUGCAUUCAAACUGACGAGCUAGAGUAUGGUAGAGGGUGGUGGAAUUUCCUGUGUAGCGGUGAAAUGCGUAGAUAUAGGAAGGAACACCAGUGGCGAAGGCGGCUCUCUGGUCUGCAACUGACGCUGAGGCUCGAAAGCAUGGGUAGCGAACAGGAUUAGAUACCCUGGUAGUCCAUGCCGUAAACGAUGAGCGCUAGGUGU
rnacentral:rRNA from 1 species